AGAGGAGUGGCGGACGGGUGAGUAACACGUGGGUAACCUACCCAUCAGAGGGGGAUAACACUUGGAAACAGGUGCUAAUACCGCAUAACAGUUUAUGCCGCAUGGCAUAAGAGUGAAAGGCGCUUUCGGGUGUCGCUGAUGGAUGGACCCGCGGUGCAUUAGCUAGUUGGUGAGGUAACGGCUCACCAAGGCCACGAUGCAUAGCCGACCUGAGAGGGUGAUCGGCCACACUGGGACUGAGACACGGCCCAGACUCCUACGGGAGGCAGCAGUAGGGAAUCUUCGGCAAUGGACGAAAGUCUGACCGAGCAACGCCGCGUGAGUGAAGAAGGUUUUCGGAUCGUAAAACUCUGUUGUUAGAGAAGAACAAGGACGUUAGUAACUGAACGUCCCCUGACGGUAUCUAACCAGAAAGCCACGGCUAACUACGUGCCAGCAGCCGCGGUAAUA
rnacentral:rRNA from 1 species